rnacentral:lncRNA from 1 species
AGGUGUUGCUCACCUUUAAGGGUCAACUUCCUGCAGAAGGCUUUUUGCUUACAUAAGCCUUGAGUACACUUGAGAUAGCUCAACUAAUGUUGUGUUCACCAAUGUAUUUACUCUCAAUUCAUUAUUUUUUUAUAUGUAUGUCUAAGAGGUUAUGCUGGAAACUGCUGUGAUUGGUAUACAAAGUCUAUACAUAGAACAAACAAGUCGGAAUAGAAAAUAUCUUCUCUCUCUGUUGACUUUAUAGGAUGUGACAAUCUCAUUAUUGUUCCUGAUCAACUGACCAUAUUUUAUGGGACUACAUUGUGUUUUCACUUGCAUAAGGCUACCUAUAAUUAGUUCAAGGACUUAUUCAUUCCACACUUUGGACAUAGAAGCAGCCUCUCUAAGUUGUGGAGAAGCAUUGUGAAUACACUCGGGCAUCUGCUGGGCAAUGGCGUGCAGCCGGCAAAUCUUUCACUUCCAGAAGCAUUGUACUAGAACAACACUGAACCACUUCAUGGACGCCGAUCCCCUGGACAAUGACUGAAGUUGAGGAAAGGUUUUAAGUGGUUUUUUUUUUAAUUUUGCCUGCAUUUCAUGUGUGUCAAUAAUUUUGAAUUAUGGAAUGCUCUAAUAUGAAUAAAGACACUGUCAAUCCAUUGUGUAUUGU